UGAUGGUUUUUUUAUUCUUCUAGAGGUUUGCUUCUUUUUUUUUCUCAGUUUUUUUAUCAAUAUCAGUUAAGUUAAAUGGUGAUUUUUGAUCCGCAGUGCUGGUGUGCUGAUUUUUUCUUCUUCUAGGAUUUUUCUUUUUUUCCUCAGUUUUUUUUAUCAAUAUAUCAGUGCUGGUAUAUUUGUAUUAACGAUAGAUCAAUCUAUGUGAUUGUGUUGUGUAUUUAUAAAGGUGAUAAAUUUAAUAUUUUGUUAAUCCGUUUCUUGUGAUUGUAAUUUCUUUUUUAUAUUCUGAAUCUUUGUCGCCAUAAUAACAAUCAGGUUUUACAUUUUUACUGAUUACUGACUUUGUUUUGCAGUUUUUAUUUUGCAGUUGUUGGUGAUAUAUCAUCGGAAUGAAUGAUGAAAUGUAAUAUUUUGGUUCACUUUCUGGUAUUUUUUUAAGUGUAAUAAUCUUUGUUUUUUACUUUUUAUUUGUGGUUCCUAUAAUUUUAUUAGGAAACCAUUUUGUUUUUGGUUGUUUUUUAUGGGUUUUACUCUUUUUGUUGAUUUUAUAUUUUCUUUUAUUUUUAUUUUUAUUUUUAUCUACCGGAUCAUAGAAACUCUAUUAUUAGGAAACCAGUUUUUUUUUGUUCUUGUUUAGAGGUAGUAUUCUUUUAAAUUUUUUUUUGGCUUUAGUCGUACCAUGCACUGAAGAAUUAAACCAUAAUUCUGAGAUCAUCCUGGUAUCAAUGGAAGGAUGAUCUAUUUUUUACGAUUUCAUUUUUACAUCGACGGAUUCAUUCUUUGGAUUGUGGUGACUGGUGAGAUUUCUUAAAAAUGUUGCUAACAGGCGCAUGUCUAAUGAAGACGAAGUAGCCCGACUUUAGAGGAAACGCCAAGUAUCCUAUAUUAGCCCCAGUUAUCUGCACAUCUUUUUCAUUCCGGACCUUUUUCAUUCUGAGCAAAAGAUUAACUUUUAUGUAUUUAAAGUUUGUGCAAAAUGAUGAAGUAAGAAUAGCAAUGUAAGUCUAAGUUCAUGAGAAACGAAUUCGGAAAGAGCUAAAGGAACAAGAUAUUUUAAGUAAAGAGAAGAGCAAAUACGUCAAGAAAUGGAAAAAAUGUCCAUGAAAGACGGAAAGUGGAAGAGAGGUUGAUGCGUGAAAAUUAGCGAGAAAAGGAGAGGUUCCAGAGAGAAAAAGCUUGGACUUCCAUAAGAUUUAUGCAAAAGGAAUCAGAUAAGUUGGUGUGAUUCUUUUCAUGGCCAUUGCUUAUUCACGGUCCAGAAAAAGACAAUAUGCGGGAACAGAUUCAUAUUGAUACGAACCUUCCAGCAUUGUGAUAGUUAUCCUUUUUAUCAGAUGUCUAACGGAGGCGAUAUGAUGUGAUAUGGAUGACUUUUUAUGAGCAAGGUUUCUUCAGUCAGAUUAAAUACAAAACUUUGUAGUCAGAUUAAAUACAAAAGCUUAAUUGAUUAAAAGGUGUAGCAACAUGUGUGCCUGGAAUAGGCUUGUGAGCGGAUUCAUCUGAGCCAACGCCAACGCACAGCUCAACCAUUUUGAAGAAAAUCUAAAACAUAAAAUAUUAGAUUUAUAUGUUCAUGCAUUGAUGUACAUCUACACGUAAUAAUCACAUGAUGAAGCUACAAGAUUCGCGUAACAGAUUAGUAUCAUUAUCUACACGCAGUAAUCACAAAAAAAAAAGCAAAAAAUGGCUAAAACCAACAAAUUGACGACAAGAAGAACAUGGAAUAUUUAAAGAACAAAUGAAAAUGCAAAGGAUAUUUAUCUCUACCCUGAAGAACUUCACGUCAACAAAAAAAAAAACAUACAACACAAACAAGUAAACCAUAGGAGAAAGAGGUCAGAGGUGUGAUUCUUCUUCAAGAUAAGAAUGGUAUGGUUCUGGAAUAUUAUCGGGAGCUAAUUUGAUUCUUAGCUUUGUAUUAUUUUUUAGUUAUUAUUCAUGAAUUAUUGAAUUUUCUACAAUAACCUCUGAUUCAGGUAAGGCCUACUGCUUACUGCUUGAAAUUACAUACGUUUAUUAAAUAAAAUUAAAUAAAUAAAGUAUACUCAAUUCGAUAAUUUAUUGCAGCUGUUAUUGGGAAGUUGAAGCAUGCGUGAAUUGAGAUAAUUAAGGAACCGGUUGAGAACCAAGAGAAAUACGAAGAAGUCCUUACGAGAUGCAAUUACUAUGGUGGUGACUUUAUGGGAUGAAUGACCAAAGGAGGUAGUAAAAAUGGAGUGGUGGGAGCCUGGCAGGUGGUAAUACUGGUCCAAUAAUCGUCAUGGU